rnacentral:rRNA from 1 species
UACGUAGGGGGCAAGCGUUGUCCGGAAUCAUUGGGCGUAAAGCGCGUGUAGGCGGCCAGAUAAGUCCGUUCUGAAAGCCCGGGGCUCAACCCCGGGAGGCGGAUGGAUACUGUUUGGCUCGAGUCCGGAAGAGGAGAGUGGAAUUCCUGGUGUAGCGGUGAAAUGCGCAGAUAUCAGGAAGAACACCCGUGGCGAAGGCGGCUCUCUGGGACGGUACUGACGCUGAGACGCGAAAGCGUGGGGAGCGAACAGG